ensembl:lncRNA
AGCCAUUAUGUCAGUCUACAUGGCAUUCAAGCCAUGGUUCUCAGCUCCAAAAUCUCAUGUUAUCCUUUCUGGUGAUACCUGUUGGACACAUUGUCUUUUUGCAAUAUACAAGCUUCAGUAAAAAAAACUCAACUCGAGUCAUUUGAAGUUUCAUGUUUAACUGAGUGGAUAGCUGGAUGUUCAUUUAGUGAGAACAUUACAGUACUUGGCAGAGAUGGGAGUAAGUCCCAUACAUGCAAGUCUCAAGUCAGUCGCAAGUCUUAGCCCUCAAGUCUCAAGUAAGUCCAAGUCGUCAGUAAGGAGGAUCAAGCAAGUCAAGUCCAAGCACAGCUUUAGUCAAGCAAGUCAAGUCAAGUCUCAUCAAGUCAAGUCAAGUCAAGUCAUUAUCAAAUUCGUUUUUUUCAAAUGUCUGUAUUUCAUCAAACCUGUUUUUCAGAGUAAUUUUUUUUUAAAUGUAAGAAGAUAAGUUACGUAAUGAAUCAGCUCAACAUGAAUGAAUCUCAAACAGCUUUUUAUUUGUGUGUGUGUGUGUGAUGUGUGUGAUGUGUGAGAGAGAGAGAGAGAGAGAGAGAGAGAGAGAGAGAGAGAGAGAGAGAGAGAGAGAGAGAGAGAGAGAGAGAGGUGAACAUCAGAACAUGUUCAUCAGAACAACUGACAAUUGUGAGCCAUUACAAAUGGCCAUUACACUUCCAAAAAAUCGUACGUUUUAACUAUGUUACCAUACCAGCUGGCCGAUUUAAUCAUAUAAUAAAGCCUAUUUGUCUUUUC